AGUGAGAAAGUCUAAAAGUCUUGCAUGCUUGCAUGCUAAGACUUAAGGACUUUCGAACGAACAAACACCGAGAAGAAGCGAUUUUUGUAGAAAAUCGCGAGAUUCGAGGUGUUUGCAGGAUUGCGAGAGUUGUGUACAACGGAGCAAUCCGUGGUAUC
rnacentral:sRNA from 1 species